GGAGUCGUGGCUCAGUGGUAGACUGAGCACUUUCCUGGCAUGUGUGAGGCCCUGGGUUCAAUCCUCAGCACUGCA
rnacentral:tRNA from 1 species